rnacentral:tRNA from 1 species
UGGCUCAGUGGUAGAGUGCUUGCCUUGCAUGCAUGAGGCCCUGGGUUUGAUUCCUAUG